CUCCUCCACUCCUUCUCGUCCCGGUCCCUCGGACUAGCGACCGAGGCGACGCCACCGCGGGGGGCCAGCGCAUCCGCCUUCUCCACUCCUUGUCUCGGCAGAGGCGCCGCCGGCGCCAAACGUCCUGCAGGCGACCACCUCGCGGCCACCAGGUCCGGAGGGGGCCGGAGAAGGCGACUUCGACCACCCCAAAGAGGUGACUGCAGCCGCCGCCCUCGGCUUCAAAUAUCGUUACCAUCAGAUAAUUUGCUCUACGGCUGUUCAGAGUCCAUCGUGGUGCCAAGCGGGGCAAUGAGGCAGUACAGAUCAUCUGGUAGUCAUGGGGAUCAAGUGAAUCCGAAGCACGCCCUGACUCUCACUUUUGUGAUCCAUCUCCUUCGAUUGAUUUCCUCUAAGUGGUGAUGUCUCAGGCACUGCACGGAAGGUGUUUGACAAAAUGAGCAAGUAAGCCGCCGAAGCACCAGAACUGCUCUCUUUGAUGGCAUUGAAGAAGGUGUAAUACGAGCACCAGCUUAUUCUUCACAUGAGAUAGAUGAACAUGAGAAUGAGUCAGCAUUCUCAAGAGGGGGUGAUCCACGCUGACUAGCGCGGCCGGUGGGCGCUGUGCUCUUCAACCACUCGGAGGCGGACUUCUCCGUGAAUCCCAGUGGCCACGUCGCGUGGAUGGUUGUCCAGGUGAUUUUGACGCCGGAGGUCGCCGAGGUGGAGGACCUCGACGCCACCAUUCGGGGGAAGGGAGGAUUCGGGUCCACCGGCGUCUAAGCUCCGAGCCUUGGUAGAUACAUCUAGGGAAGUGGUCUGUUUAGGUUGGCUCCGAGCCUUUCGAUGAUGGUUGUGUGUGUCUGAUGUUAAAUGGAAUCUUGAGAAUGUUAUGCGACGUUGGUUUGGUUUGCACUGGACGUAUUGCCAUCCAUGAAUACUACAUCUAACUUUUAUUUUUUUAA